rnacentral:rRNA from 1 species
GAGUUUGAUCGUGGCUCAGAUUGAACGCUGGCGGCAUGCCUUACACAUGCAAGUCGAACGGCAGCAUGAUCUAGCUUGCUAGAUUGAUGGCGAGUGGCGAACGGGUGAGUAAUACAUCGGAACGUGCCCUGUAGUGGGGGAUAACUAGUCGAAAGAUUAGCUAAUACCGCAUACGACCUGAGGGUGAAAGUGGGGGACCGCAAGGCCUCAUGCUAUAGGAGCGGCCGAUGUCUGAUUAGCUAGUUGGCGGGGUAAAGGCCCGACCAAGGCGACGAUCAUAGCUGGUCUGAGAGGACGAGUCAGCCAUACUGGGGACUGAGACACGGCCCAGGACUCCUACGGGAGGCAGCAGUGGGGAAUUUUGGACAAUGGGCGAAAGCCUGAUCCAGCAAUGCGCGUGUGUGAAGAGGCCU